UAAAGAAAACCAAUUUCUUGCGGGACACAGCGGGUAAUCCCGAGCGGGCACGAUAGUCCCAUCUUGCCCACUUGGGCGGUAGCCAAUAACAGCCCAGGAUUUGGCUCAUCCUUCCUUAUAAUAGUGUUAAGUAUUGUACAAUGCGUUUUUGAUUUUAAAGUCUGUAAACGACAAAACUGUAGUUCGUGACCUUACAAUGGAAGCCUAGUUUGUGACCAUUCAGAUGAAACUUAAACAGCUUCGUGUAAUGCUGUUCCAUAGCAGUAUCGAUUAUUGUUCAAAACACGUGUCAUACCAUGCACUCAGAAAGAAACGCUAUGCGUUCUGUUGAAAAAGAACAUUCGUUCUACCUGGCACGCCAUAUAGUCCCUAGAGGAUUGCCAAAUGACGAAAUCUAGCCGCCAUUUUGAAUUGCAUAACAAUGUUAACAGAUGGCAAAAGCGUCAAUUCAACGUUCUCACGUUUUUUUUUAAGCAAAUUAUAACACAAAACACAUAUCCCCCUAAGUAAAGGUUGAAAUACAAAUUCGAACAGAUUAGAUAAUGGAAGCUGCUUUUACUCUUAAGCUUGGAAAAGAAGCCUCCAAGUAAGAAAAGUCAUCAAAAUAGUUUAGUUAAUAGUUAGAUAGGAAAGUGCUGUGUCUAUUAACAAAUAAUGAAAUAAUAGUUGAUUUAAGGUCAUAACUUACUUCCAUGAUUUAAUCUGGCUUUGCAUGCUAGUUUCUGUUAUAAAACGCAGAGUAAUUGAGGUUCUUUGAAAGACAACUAAGCUUCCACUCAAAAACAGUAAUCCUGGGCCAAACGUUAUGAAAACCUUAGUUCUUGAAUCGUACUUGUACAUGUGUUCUUGAAAAUGACAAAUGGAAAGCGUUUUAAAACUUGUUCGAGUAAACAACAUCACAACUUUUUAACCGUGCAUAAAUUAUGUCGGUAAUUUAUUCAUUUUAAACAAAGUAGAAAUGGUACAACUGUACAAAACAGCUCCCAUACGUGACAUUGCACCAGAGAAGUGUAUGAAGUGAAAGUUGAUAUAUUCAUCGAAUCAACUUAGAAUAACCCGCUUCAAGAUGAAUGCGGACUUAACACAGGCGAUGUAAGCGAGAAUGAUGUGGUAUCAAGGGUAGCCAAUCAAUUUAAAGUUGGGUGAGGAGUUAAAAAUUUCACCGUCUUUUAGAAUUACUACGAUUUAGAUAUCAAAUCUUGCACUGAAAAUGCUUAAGACGCAACAGGAUUUACUCUCCCUGCUAUAGACAUGUGACACAACGACAAGGCAUAACGGUCUCAUUAGUCAGUCCGCACAUGCACCUAAUGAUCUCCUCUGUGUGUCCAGCCAGCAGGCAAUGAUAGGCCUAAUUAAUCACCUUUGUCAAGCCUUUAAUUAGCUCUCGUGUUCUGAAAGCCACUCACAUGAUUUACCGCUAAAGGAAGAACUUUCCAGACCCGUGUAGGAGAUUCCAGUUACAGCACUCCUCAAUCGUAUCUAGGUACGUACAGAUGCACCUGCCGUGAGAGCAAACACUUGCUUGAAAAUUCGUCAGAUUGCAUGAAAACACCCAUAGUAGUACGCAGGAUACUUAGUUUUCUGGUCACGUACGCUGCAAAAAUACUUCAAAACGUCCGUAAGUGUUGAUUAUUUUUCGUGUCCUAUCUAGUUCGUGAAACGGAUGCACGAAGAAUUAACACCAAUUACUUGUCUUGUCACCGUAUUUUCUCGUUGUGUUGUUAUUCGGUACAAUAACUGGCCACCUUCGCCCUAAAAGAAUUAGGCAAUGAAAUCUUGUGGAGUUUGAAGCUGUAGGCACUCCAAAUUUAUCUGCAACUGCAACUGAAAGAGUCAACGAAAAGCCAUGUAAAAUUGUUGUACAGGACACUAAUUUGGAUCCUAAAUUGUAUUAUCAUUUGGCUCCCGUGAGCUUAUGUCUUCUCCUCAAGUCGGACAAUAAGAGAUGUUUUCUUCGCGACAGAAAGUUUAUUAGGUCUUAACGCUUUUAAUCUUAACGGUGUUCGCUGAUUUGGAAGAGUGGCUAAUUUGAAAUAAAUUUUUAGACUGAAAUAUUGCUUCGAAUAGGCACCCGACUGUGUUUUUGGCCUACUUCUGAAAGUCAACCUUAGUUAUCAUGUUUUAAUAAGUCGAUUGAGCAUAAACCACAAUGACAGAUUAUAGUUUAUUGAUAUGCAAUUGAAUUGAUACGCAAUUGAUGAUAGUUUCUAACCGUUCGAAUUAAAAAAUAAAGUACUUAGUUCUAAUAUAAGGCAGGUUAAUAUUCAGUUAUUUUAACAAACAGAAAUAUUUUUCUGGACUGUCUGAGGACUAAAACUCCCGACAUACUCAGGUUUUUGUGAAGCACGCUGCUUUCUCAGUCUGGCGUUGCCUAAUUCAGUCAAACGUUUGUACGUAGUAACCUAAAGUAAAGUUAAUUUUCGUUGUAGAUUGCUGAAUUAAACCUACGCAUGCGUUGAAAAGGACUAUUGAAGACGUCGAACCUAUCGCUGAGAUACAGACGCGAUCAGAUUACCGAAGUGUGCCGGGAGCAGGGCGUUUUAAAAAUGUUGCUUUCCGUUUCCAAAGUCGUGGUAGGGAUUUUGCUGAUCGUCAUUGUCACGGCUAAACAAAAAAGCAGACAAUAUUGGCCAAGACCAACUUCAGAUUGUGAAGUGCGAAAAGGCUUCCUCCAGAUGCAAAGUGACGGGUGCAAGUUCAAAAUUUCAACUUCUGGUUGUAGCGGCAAAUGCUUGUCGUCGGCGAAACCUUUCAGCCAUAGAAUUGGAUUUGCUUCAAGUUGCUCGUGCUGUGCACCCAUCGAAGCUACUAUCAAAGAAAAAUCAGUGAACUGCCACGGAGUAAUAAAAGUGAUUCGCUACCCAGAAGCAAAGAAAUGCGCCUGCAGACCGUGUUUAAACGGCUGACAUUAUAUAUCCGUCGUGCGAAGUUUUGAAGUGAAGCAAAGAGUUUUCGUCUUGUAAAGAGAAUGGUGCUGACGUCGCGACUUGCGUGGAUUUAAAAACAUCAACCGAGUACUAGCUCAGUAAUAUUGGAGUGGGAUUAGAGAAGAAGCCGUUAAAAAAAAAAAUAUAUAUAUAUAUAUUUAGAGUUUGGAAAAGUUUCGAAGGGCUCUUGAAAAAGACGUGAAUAUCGCCGAGCAAUAAUUAGACUUAAGGUGGAAGUUAACUUAAGACAGUUUAUUGUUGCGUUACGUGGUUUGUAAUAUACCAGGCCGUCUAUUAAUUUUGUGGUUUUACUUUUGUACCCAACUGCAUGCAGGUAACAUUGGGUUUCUUCACAGUACAUGAUAACGUGUUAUCAGGGGCAGAUAACGUUGUAUGAUUGAAAUUUAUAUAUCAUGCAAAGAGCAGCUCAUUAUUGCGCAACAGCGUGCAAUCUUCUUGGAAGCCGGUUUCGCAGGGAAGCACGAUUAACUGAAAACAUGGUAAGAAAAAUCGUUACGGUCAAUUUUUAAUAUCAAAUAGGUUGAUGUCGUUAAGAAUAUUUGCGAGCUAUAGAGCUAUGCAUUGAUCUUGAGAUGUUUUUCAUUGCAAAAGGCAAUUAAAAUUAACAUGAAUUAGACCGAUGUUGCCUACGGCGUGUUGCGGUUCCAUGAGCAAUUUACGUUUAGUUAAUUUUGUUCUUUUUCGCAGACAUCAAAUGUCGUUUGUUGAAACAAAAAGGCAAAGCAUAAUAACAAACCCUAUGGUCAACGCUAGGUCACUUAGAGGUUAUAAAACAGCGAAACCAACGGCGUAUAAACUGUGUGCAUAAAGGGAGGUGAUUAUAUGUAAAAGGGAUUACCUGUGUAUAGAUUUAAACGGCUUUGGACACUUCUAAAUAUUGUAAAUCAAUUUCUCUUAUUAAGUCUAAGUAAUAAGAAACAUAACACUAGUGUAAAUAUUUUCCAUAGAACUGAUCCCAGUUCUUCAUGUACAGAGGCAGUCGGCUUAUAUGACGCUGCAAACUGAUAAAUAGUCCCGAAUGUAGGCGGAAGACUAAUUGUUCAUUCACAAUUUAUGAUGACUGAAACACAAUAUGAAUAAUGGAUUUAAAUAGCAACCUAAAGGUUGUAAGCAAGAUAACGUAUAUAUAAGACCUAAACAGUAUGAAGUAUCACGCAAGUUGAAAAGAACAAAAAAAAUAAAGCACGUAAUUUGUUUAAACUGUACUGUAUCACGUUCACGGUUUGGAUGGUCACAAAGCAUGAAUUUACCUUUCAAUUUCUAGUUGCUGUUUAGCAAAUGCACAUUUACUAGAAACAUUUUUACUCACCACACCCAAUCCGCCCUAGCGUCAAUUACCAGACGUGGUUUUCGACACCAUAUAUCAAAUAGAAAAGACAGGUGAUGAAAAAUGGAAUCCGGAAGCAAUCUGACAGUCCGGAAACAAUCUGGCCUUUGUUUAAAAUAUUUUCAAAACAUGUAAUAUUUGCGAUUAUUUGUCUUCGCCCUAAAGAUUAUUAAAUAAUCGAAAAUCCUCGUUAUUUCCUGAGUUUUAAAAGUCUUCUUCCAACGUUCUCUAUUUUGUUAAAAUGGGUGUUUUGUUUUUUUUUGCUGAAAUGUAGAGAAACGCGACAAUCUGUACCAAUGUUGGAGGUCCACAUUGCAGAUAUUGGUGAUAGCAUUUCAGGAUUUGUUUAAUUUGUUUCCUCGGCCACAUUUUUAAGUCAUCUUUGAUCUCUUACUGAACAGAGGCUUGGCAAUUUGAAUUAAUUUUACAAUCAUGUAAUCUCAUCCUCAUGUCACCCACCCUCAUGUUACUCAAAAUUGUGGGCAAACGGUUGUGGUUACAAUGACCCUUCAAGAAUUUCUGAUUCCACUAAGUUUGCAGUAGACCUCAGUCAAUUUAGGAAUUCUAUUUUUCAUUCAUUCUUUAGAAACCCCACCUCUGUUGGUUCUCAGGCUUAGGGGCAUUGCUGGUGCACCUUAAUUGUUCCGGGAGACAUUGGGCUAGCUUUGAAACAGAACUUUAGGAUAGAUUAUGUAUAAAAUAACUAAGGUGAUUCCCGUAUUAUGAUAGGUCAAUAGUUAUUAAGCAUUAAGGUACAUUUAAGCUGUCAGAAUAGAUACGUUGGUUACUUUACUUCGAAUAUUUUCAUCAAAAUUAAUUGCAGAACGAAAUAUAUGACAAAUGUAGAAAGAAAAUAACAAAUCCAAAUUGAACACAAACGUCAAGAGCCACUUACCAUUGUUCACCUUAACAAUUGCUAACCAAGUUGGCGUCUCCACCAAGUCUUCACCUUGCAUUUAAUAGCUCUCAAGAGUUGAUCUAAGUGUAAAAGAACAUUCACGACUCAGUGGACUGAAAAACGAUUUUGCAAACGGCAUAUCGGCUUCUUCAGAUAUGUUUUACUUUCAAGACUGAAAUUUCUUAUGCAUUCUUCCACAUGACGGUCAUCAACUGACAACUCAUUCAAGCAAAACCAUUUUUUCCUAUCUAAAGCUGAAACUUCUACUCUAGAAAUUUACAACUGGUACCUGUCAAAGGCUUGUUCAGACGAAAUGCUAUCUUUGCAAGGGGAGAUCAAUGUUUGAUUUGGAGAGGAAAGAAACUACAGUGCAUGACGUUAGUGCAUUCCUGUGGCCUGAUCGAUCCAUCUGCCUGGAGACGGCGGCUUGGUAUAAUUAACGUUACCAGUGUUUUGAUCUGUUAAUUAUCGCUUCGAAAUCUGGCACUUGAAGUCUUGCACCAAGUCGGAAAUCUCUGUGCUAGGUAUUCUGUAUACAUCGGUAGGGAUUCGUGAUGUUUUUGGCGCUCCUGCUUGGUUAUCAGACUCGAACUCCAGUCAAAAUAAAAAGGGCAUAGAACUUCGUCCGGCAGAUUUUCUCUCCUUGCGAUUUUUCAGUGUUGAUCAAGCUCCAAAAUACAACCCCCUAGAGUUGCAAAAUCAUUGUAAGUUGUUUCUUGCAAUUGUCACGAAUGCGAACCACCAAAAUGCGUUAAUUCCGCUAUCGGUCAUGUUUAUAUCCCAUUUCACUGUCAGAGAAGUAACUUGCCAUACAUCUGGAGAAGAACUUUACGGUUUGACCACGAUUUCGGUUGAGACAAAACUCCUUCAGUAUUCUGGUGUUACGAUCCUCAGUACAUUCCCGAAAGGUCUUGUAAAUGCGAGCUUGCAAAUACCUCCUUGGACGAAUUCCUUACAUUGCGUCAACCCAUUUGAUCUGAAUUCUCGACAUGUUUUCCAAACAAAAGAAGAUACCUCAACUUCACUUGCCAAUAAUAGAAGUAAAUCAUUGGAAAUGAUUUUCCAAUUUGUGUCCAGUUGAGCAUCUAAUCAUGAUAAUUGCCAAGGCCGUGGCCAUGCCUUGGGAUUCCCUUGUUCGCUGAGUGCAUGGUAUGAAAACAAACCAGUUAAGGAACGGUUAAAGGUGUGGGUUUGCUCAUGACUGCAUAUGUAACUGCAGAUUAAGCUACCCGAGCUACUUCAAUGACCAUAAAAUUAGUUUUGACUAGGGUCAUGAAAGGGGCAGGGUAACUCAGGCGUUCUUUUAAGUAGCGGACGUUCAGGAGGUUCACUGAGAUGCAUGGUGGCCAAAACUGGAGGUAUGUUGGGCUGCUUUAGCAAAAUAAGUCGCUUUAUUCUUUGCUUUACUUUCUUCAAAUGUGCCCAUUGUAACGAAAGCAAAAAACAGAGAAAAAUCCAAAGAAUAUACAACUUAUAAUCCAGGGUUCAUAGACAUUUGAAAUGUUUUAGUUUCCUCACUUUAUUUGCAUCAGUUCAGGAGACACAAGCCGUUUAUAGGCUCACCAAGGUUCGUAUAUAGAAGCACCAAGGGCAGGCGAGAGAAUUUGACAAUAAAUCAAAUUACCUAUUUAACGAAAUAACUUUAAGGUAGCUAAAUGUGGCCUCAUUAAGGCAAAAGCCUUGUUUUCGAAAGUUGGCCGUGUUAUGUCAUUAACCAAAUUUGUAACCCGGCGCACAUGGAAUGUAUUGACAAGAUGUUUGGAUUUCAGAAAAGAAUAACAACAAAUGCCGAUGACAAUGUACCCAAAUUGACUGAAUUCAUGAAGCCUUUUGCGUUUUCCAUUAGCAUGGUCUACGUAAGGAUACUUCUCGAAGAUUUAUCGCUUUCUUAUAAAUAGCAUUAUGCAGAUGCAUUCAUAACUUAGACUUAUUGCAAGAAAUCGGCAAACGUCCAUAUGUUACGCAGUUGUUUCGAAAAAUACUCGUGAUUAUUAAACACUAUAUUACUUUAGUUAGGAGAACCAUCUACAUGUAUAAUGAUUAUCUAUAUCAGUGAUACUGCUAGAUGCACAAGAUUAAAGUUAAAUUUACAGCAUAAAGUUUAGCUGUACUUUUGGUUGUACAACGUAAUCAGUCAUGGUUCUAAAGGGAAAAUGAGAUGCUUGCUCUAGGCAACCGAUACAAUUUGAAGAUAAUCAUUUUGUCACAGGGCCAAAAGAUUCAACAGUAGAGAUCAAGGCUUCAGGAUUGCAGUAAAACAGAUACAGAGUAAGUUUUAUGGAGAAAAAAAUUAAUUUCUACAAGUACAUGCAUGGUUUGUUUUCAUCAUUUCAUAACUGCUGUUUAAUUUUCCGUCGAAGUCACCAUUUAAGGCCCAUUGUGGAGUAGGCCACUUGUUGUUUUCUUGGCCUAAAAAGGAACUUCUUAUCUAUCCCUCCAUUUCUCGCUUUGCAGGGGGUGAAGAGAAAGAAUUUUGCCUUUAGGUGUUUGUUCCAGAUUGGUAACCGAAAACAAAGUACCCGGUUUUCAAUUGAAGUGGAAAAUGUAAACAAGCUUUUCCUUGACUGAAGUGCUAAACAAAAGUUUAUAUAGUGAGUUCCCACGCUCUUAAAGCUCAUUCGCUGCAACGUAAUUAACAUGUUAAUUUAACAAGUGGCUCUGUGUGAUCUCGUAUACACAGAGCGCUUGUUAGCUACGUGUUUUGUCUACUGGAUUUCAGUCAUCGUAACAAUUUCAUGCUAUCACAAGUGUAUUAAAAUACCUCCUAAACCUAAAAAAAAAAAAAAAAAAAAAAAAA